UAAGUGCCGUCAGUGAGGGUAGGGAAUGG
rnacentral:piRNA from 1 species